rfam:Myotis davidii contig153333, whole genome shotgun sequence.
GGUGGUUCUCGGGUGAUGCGCCUCAGAAUCGGGCUCCCUCCUCUCUGGUUCCAGGGUGUGUCAGAACCACC